UCCACUACUCCAGCCCUAACCCAACCCCAAACUCCAGAACCCUCGCUCUGCCUCUCUCACACUCAGUCCAUAGCUCUUCUCAUCGAGGUCCUGGUCCUCCGUCACUUCCUUCCAGCCACCGCCUGCUAAUGCCGCCGUCGGAACUUCCAACUUCAAACAGCCACCACCUUCUCCCUCACUUCCCCUCUAUCACGCAGCGGCCAUCGCAACCUUCCUAACCCUCCAUCACGCUACUCCCUUGCGAACGUGGAAGCCUCCAUCGCGCAACCACGGUCCCGCCGGCGCCAGCUCUGUUCCACUGUAGCCACUGUCCCGUUCCAAAGCCUGUUCGAAGUUGCUCCUUGUCUCGGUCUCUCCCUCUUGCAUACUCUGUUUAAGGCUUCUAGCUUCUAGUUUCAAUAGGAAGCAGAUAUAAAAAGCAGACCUUUCAAGUUUGUGCGAGUUGCUGUCCAUGUCCUGGAACCAAAAAUAAAAAAUCAAAGAAAUAAAAAAGAAGCAGGUAUUAUCAAUUAAAUUCAAUUCUGAGUAUUAUUGGUUGGACAAUUAUGAGAAUAUUAUUACUGUUUGUGAGUUGAAAACUUUAGAUUUAAUUGAUUUUUUUUGUGUUUGUGUAUGCACUUUUUGUAUCUUUUUCUUCACAGUUUUUCUUUUUUUAGUUUGGUUUAGUUUGUUGGAUCAACAUGUAUUUGGUUUCAUACUUUCAUUAAUAAGUUCUUAAUAUGUAUUUUUAUUU